UGAUAAUAACAACAUUCAACUAUACAAGCUAAGCAAACAAUAUCCAAUAACCAAUAUAAAGGCUAAAUCCCAAUUUAUGACCAUUCAAGGUUACUACCUCACAUUAUACAAUUCAAUAACAAUUUCCACAAUUCAACAUAGCUAAGAUCAUAUAAGAACAGCCCACAUCAAACCACUGAUAAUCCUUCAUCAAUUACUCAAAAUCAAUAGACACACUUUAGGC
rnacentral:lncRNA from 1 species